GAUGAACGCUAGCGGCAGGCUUAAUACAUGCAAGUCAAGGGGGUAGCAAUACAACCGGCGCACGGGUGAGUAACGCGUACACAACAUACCAUAUACUGGGGUAUAGCUUUGGGAAACUGAAGGUAAUCCCCCAUAACAUUGCGAGAGGGCAUCUGAUUGCAAUUAGAGUUUCGGCGGUAUAUGAUUGGUGUGCGUUUGAUUAGCUAGUUGGUAGGGUAACGGCCUACCAAGGCGACGAUCAAUAGCUGGCGUGAGAGCGCGACCAGCCACACUGGAACUGAGACACGGUCCAGACUCCUACGGGAGGCAGCAGUGAGGAAUAUUGCACAAUGGGAGAAAUCCUGAUGCAGCGACGCCGCGUGUGGGAAGAAGGAGCUUAGCUUCGUAAACCACUGUCGGAGGGGACGAAUGGUAGGUUAGACCUACUGAGACGGUACCCUCAAAGGAGGAUCGGCUAACUACGUGCCAGCAGCCGCGGUAAUGUAGU
rnacentral:rRNA from 1 species